rnacentral:rRNA from 1 species
UACGAAGGGGGCUAGCGUUGCUCGGAAUCACUGGGCGUAAAGGGUGCGUAGGCGGGUCUUUAAGUCAGAGGUGAAAUCCUGGAGCUCAACUCCAGAACUGCCUUUGAUACUGAGGAUCUUGAGUACGGGAGAGGUGAGUGGAACUACGAGUGUAGAGGUGAAAUUCGUAGAUAUUCGCAAGAACACCAGUGGCGAAGGCGGCUCACUGGCCCGUUACUGACGCUGAGGCACGAAAGCGUGGGGAGCAAACAGG